ACGCUGGCGGCGUGCCUAAUACAUGCAAGUCGAACGGUCUUUCUAUGGAAGCUUGCUUCCACUGAGAAGAUAGUGGGCGAACGGGUGAGUAACACGUGGGUAACCUGCCCAUAAGAGGGGGAUAACAUCCGGAAACGGGUGCUAAUACCGCAUAGUUUUUCUUGAUCGCAUGAUCGGGAAAGGAAAGACGGCCUUUGUGCUGUCGCUUAUGGAUGGACCCGCGGCGUAUUAGUUAGUUGGUGAGGUAACGGCUCACCAAGACGAUGAUACGUAGCCGACCUGAGAGGGUGAUCGGCCACAUUGGGACUGAGACACGGCCCAAACUCCUACGGGAGGCAGCAGUAGGGAAUCUUCCGCAAUGGACGAAAGUCUGACGGAGCAACGCCGCGUGAGUGAAAGAAGGUUUUCGGAUCGUAAAACUCUGUUGUCAGAGAAGAACAAGUUGGAGAGUAACUGCUCCAGCCUUGACGGUAUCUGACCAGAAAGCCACGGCUAACUACGUGCCAGCCGCCGC
rnacentral:rRNA from 1 species